rnacentral:rRNA from 1 species
AUUGAACGCUGGCGGCAGGCCUAACACAUGCCAGUCUGGCGAGCGGCGGACGGGUGAGUAAUGGAUGGGGAUCUGCAUGAUGGAGGGGGAUAACUACUGGCACCGGUAGCUAAUACCGACUACCAUCAGAUGAACCCCUAUGGGAUUAGCUUGUAGGUAAGGUAAAGGCUUACCUAGGCGACUAUCCCUAGCUGGUCUGAGAGGAUGAUCAGCCACACUGGGACUGAGAAACGGCCCAGACUCCGAAGGGAGGCAGCAGUGGGGAAUAUUGAACAAUGGGCGCAAGCCUGAUGCAGCCAUGCCGCGUGUAUGAAGAAGGCCUUCGGGUUGUAAAGUACUUUCAGUCGGGAGGCGUUACCGACAGAAGAAGCACCGGCUAACUCCGUGCCAGCAGCCGCGGGAAUUC